UACGGAGGGUGCGAGCGUUAAUCGGAAUUACUGGGCGUAAAGCGUGCGUAGGCGGCUUUGCAAGUCAGUAGUGGAAGUCCAUUUUUCAAGGAUGGAAGUGCUACAGAAACUGCGGAGCUUGAGUGCAGGAGAGGUUAUCGGAAUUCCCGGUGUAGCGGUGAAAUGCGUAGAGAUCGGGAGGAACACCAGUGGCGAAGGCGGGUAACUGGACUGCAACUGACGCUGAGGCGCGAAAGUGUGGGGAGCAAACAGGAUUAGAUACCACCGUA
rnacentral:rRNA from 1 species